GAGGAAGUGGUUACUAGCGCGGCGGCCGCCGGCCCGCAAUGGUGCUACCCUGGUUGCUGCUCGAGACUGCGCGCAGGGCGGUCCUCGGGUCCGCGGAGGCUGCGCUCUGCGUGGAUGAAGUAGGUGAAGCUCUACAGAUGAAUCCAAGAGACUUCAAAGAGAAGUACAAUGAAGUAAAACCAUCCAAAUCUGACAGCUAGUGUUUUCUUAUUUAGCCGGAGUGAGAAGCAAGAAGGCCCUGGACACAGCAAUAUCUCUGGGCUUUCACAGAUCCCAGUAUUCCUACCCACUGGGUAGGACACCACUUCAAAAUCCUUUCAAAUCCAGUCCUUUCAGGGAACUGCCAGUAAUACAGAAGUGUAAGUAUAACCUAUUUGUCAGCCCUGAUGUAAGAAGGCCAAGAAACAUCAACAUUUAAGGAAUAAUUGAACAACUGAACAAAGACAAACCAAUGGAAAAUAAGAGGGGAAAAUCAAGAGGAUGGAGUUAUAAAAAUCAAUAGAAGGGGCUGGGCGCAGUGGCUCACGCCUGUAAUCCCAGCACUUUGAGAGGCCAAGGAGGGUGGAUC
rnacentral:lncRNA from 1 species